CACAGGAAGAUUUCCAUUUUCAUCCCUGCACCAGCUGUCUGCAGAGUCUUGUCUGGGGCUGGUUACUGGUCUCCACUUCCAAGAUACCCAGCACAAGGAGACAGCGCACUCUACAAUUCUGGAGAAAACGCAGGACAGACACCCAUGAACAUCAAUCGUCAGCAGAUCCAUUUUCCUGAUUUUCUUGACUGUCUCCCAGGAAGAAACGUUGAUGUAGGAACUUUGGAAUCUGAAGAUUUGAUCCCCCUCUUCAAUGAUGUAGAGUCUGCUUUGAACAAAAGCGAGCCCUUUCUAUCCUGGCUGUAAUCAAUACCAUUGUAACUUGGGUGCAGUUGUUACUGGUUCUGGGGUGUCCUGGAACUACUCAUCCUCAGUUUUUUGUGUCUGGCGGACAAUGAAUUGAAGGCAGAUGCUCAGCAGUAUGUAAGCAAGCUAGUUUUAUUGAAAGUGAAAGUACUCUUCUCAGAUCUGCAAGUAGGCUGCCUGGAGUGGUCAACCCUGUAGAUAAAGUACACUCUCAGAAGGGAGAGCAAGCUGCCUCGAGAGGUCAGCCUCGAAGCCUCCUGCUUUGGUCUCUUUUAUUCUGCCUGCAAGGCUCCAGUCCUCCCCUUUUCACAACAGCCCUUCCCCUACAAGCCUUGAUUAACAGAUGUUUCUUAUGUAAGCUUCUUCUCUCUUAGCAUGUGUAUACCCAUAACGCACUCGGUUUGCCCAUCAGGGGGGUCAAAACCUCAAUGUAAAUUUAUUAUAAUGAUUGUAUAAUGAAGCAGAGGUGAAUUCUAGGUCACACCAGCUGUCCUUCUGUGCAUGCUUACGUUGGGGAAUUUCUCUGUCAUUGCCUCACUAUUGUGUCAGGUCCAACAGUUAAGUCAAGGCUAUUGUUUUAAAGCUAUUUUUCAUUUUGGCUGCUGUGGGGAGGGCCCCUAGUAUAACUUCUACCACACAAUCAUGACCUGACCUUUCCUGGGCCUCUUGGAAAAGUCUGCAGGAGUACCACCUCUGCCUUUAUGAUUCAUCAUUGUGUCCCAUGUCAGAGGGAAAGUGCACAGAGUAGAAAUUUACUGUGGUUAGAUUUAAGUACCAAGGAGGGGUAGGAGGGGUAGGUAAUGCUUUCUCAGGCAUUUGUCAUCUAAAGUCUACAUCUUAGAAUGACGAAUAAGCAAAGAUACACUCAGAACCAAAAGAUUUAAAGAAAUGCUUUGGGGAGACACAAUGCAAAAAUAAAACAUGAAACAAAUUAAACAGUAUUAUCUCAAAAGAAACUGUUUAGAACAAAUAGUCUUAUCAAUAAUACAACCUGUAGAUUGUGAAUUCAGAAACUUAUAAAUUUGAUAAGAAUCCAGAGUCAGUUAAUAGUUUAGAUGAAAGAGAGGCUUCUAUGAAUUUUAAAUCUUCUAACUGGCCCGGUCUGAAUAUCUUGAGAAAGUGGUCUCAUCAGUCGUCAUCUACUUCAAUCUUGGGAAAUCUUCACCUUUGGGUCACUAGAUUUGCAGGUCCACUCAGAGUGAAGGGCUCUCUUCAGAUAUAUGAUGUUAACCCAGGAGUCUAUUUUCUGGAAUUUGUUCGCAGAAGAGUUGGUUAGCAAUACUUGAUAGAGAUCUUUUCAGUGAAGUUGAAGAGAGUCUUUUCGGAGAUAUCUUUUCCAAUAGAUGAAAUCUCCAGGUUGCAGAGUGUGUUGGUUAGGGUCUUUGUGUCUCUGGAGCUCACUAUGAAGAGAUCAGUCUACUAGAAUGUGGUUAAUUUUGAUAGAAUCAAUUAGGUUUUCAGAGUAUUAAAGUAUCUCUUCUUUUAUCAGCUGUAGAUCAAAAGAGGCAGGGGCUAGAUGCACUGGAUGCCCUGUGACUAUCUCAAAGGGUGGGAUUUUAUGAGUUCCAAAGGGGAUGGAUCAGAGAUUUAGAAGGACCAAUGGCAAUGCUUUUGACUAGGUAUUUGGAGGGUCUCUGUAAAUUUUGCCAAUUGAGUCUCAAUAAUGCUGUUAGUGCAUUCAAGUAACCUGAGGAUUGAGGGUGGUAAGUGCAGUGAAAGUGUUAUAAGACUGGCCAAACAGCACAGACUUGUCAAAGUAUCUGACACAUAAAAUGGAGUUUCAGAGAGAUUCCUCAGAUAGGAAUCAUCUUUUCCAGAAAAGAGGCAGUAGCCUGUUUACAAGGAAAUGCUUCAGUUCAGUGAGAAAACAUACAGACCAUGACUAAAACAUAUUUGUAUCCAUGGGGGAACUGUAUGAAAUCCAUUUACCAAAACUUAUAGAGUCCAUUACGUGAUUUAAAAUGCCUUGGAGCAGUGCGAACAGGCUUCCAGGGUUGUACUUCGAAAAGGUGGGACAAGUGAGGUAGGUGCUCUUUGUGGCCUUACUAAUAUUCCCAUACCAGUACUGAUUCAUGAAUGUUAUCACUUUUCAGUGAACCAGUGGUUUAAUGCAUGUACAAUAGUCAGGAGUGGGUAUUUUGGAGUCUCUUGUAGAACCAAGUUGUUUUUUGGCUUGAACCAGAACUUUCCUUUUUAUCAAGCCAAUAAUUAUUGGAUCAUCAGUCUUGUUUUUAUCCUUUUCUGAGGCCAAUUGUUGGGCUUCUUUAACCUGUUUUUCUAAAUUGUCAUUUGGGGAAAUAUCAUUUUGGACCAUGAAGGAGGCGUGACUGCUGUUGGAUCCUUGAAGGAUGUCAUUCCUUGCAUUAGUGUCAGCAAGAUGAUUUCCUUUAGUUUCCAGAGAGUCAAGUUUAGAAUGCCCUGGGAUCUUAAUGAUAGCUAAAGCAGCAGGUAAAAUUAUAAUAUCCAAUAAUUCCUGAACAUACUGGCCAAUCUGAAUUUCAUUUCCACUGGAAGUAAGGAAGCCACGUUGUUUCCACAGAAUUCCCAAUUCAUAAGCUACUCUGAGAGCAUAUGUACUAUCAAUAUAAAUAUUGUCAGUUUUGACCUUGGAUAGGGUGCAGGCCAGUGUGAAGGAGAAUGAGCCCAUAUAAUUCAACUUCUGUAGCUGCAGUAGGCAAAGGCAAAAGUGCCAUUUCAGUUACAUCAAAAUGUGUUGACAUUGCAUGACUUGUACAAUAUUCAUGUUGUCACAUUUUAAAUAAAAACCACCAGUAAACCA